ACAGCGCUGGAAUCCGAGGAAUGCCGGGCUGCAGGAGCUCCUUCUGCAGGCCCGGAGAAGUCGCACACUUUUAAUGGGGUAGUUUUGGAAAAUGUUUUAAAAGGUGGGGGCCGAGGACGGAGGACCGGAUGAAACUCCCUGGAGUAAGAGACGUGGAAGUGGAGAGAGCAAGGCGACCGCAGCCACCCCAACCCUGGGCUGCUCCCGCCGUUGGGGAGAAAGAGGCAAGGCAAGGAAGAGCCCACCUAGACUUCCGAGGACCGCAGAGACGGGGCGGCGGCAGGAACUUGCUCACCCCGACCUACAUUCAGAAUAGUCCACCUUAUAUUGGGGAACCCUCCAAGCAGGACGUUUCAUGCAGCCACCCCACAGGGGAAAACAGACCAGGAGAAAGUAAGGUGGCCUCACCAAGUAGGCAAUCUC
rnacentral:lncRNA from 1 species